rnacentral:rRNA from 1 species
AUACGAAAGGGGCAAGCGUUGUUCGGAUUUACUGGGCGUAAAGAGAUCGUAGGUGGUUUAUCAAGUCGGAUGUGAAAUCCCGGGGCUCAACCCCGGAACUGCAUUCGAUACUGGUAGACUUGAGUUCGGGAGGGGGAUGCGGAAUUCCGCGUGUAGCAGUGAAAUGCGUAGAUAUGCGGAGGAACACCAGAGGCGAAGGCGGCAUCCUGGACCGAUACUGACACUGAGGAUCGAAAGCAUGGGGAGCAAACAGGAUUAGAAACCCCGGUAGUCC